rnacentral:rRNA from 1 species
GACGAACGCUGGCGGCGUGCUUAACACAUGCAAGUCGAACGAUGAUGCCCAGCUUGCCGGGUGGAUUAGUCGCGAACGGGUGAGUAACACGCGAGUAACCUGCCCCUGACUCUGGGAUAAGCGUUGGAAACGACGUCUAAUACUGGAUAUGACUACUGGUCGCAUGGCCUGGUGGGGGAAAGAUUGUUGGGUUGGGGAUGGGCUCGCGGCCUAUCAGCUUGUUGGUGAGGUAAUGGCUCACCAAGGCGACGAAGGGUAGCCGGCCUGAGUGGGUGGCCGGCCACACUGGGACUGAGACACGGCCCAGACUCCUACGGGAGGCAGCAGUGGGGAAUAUUGCACAAUGGGCGAAAGCCUGAUGCAGCGACGCCGCGUGAGGGAUGACGGCCUUCGGGUUGUAAACCUCUUUUAGUAGGGAAGAAGCGAAAGUGACGGUACCUGCAGAAAAAGCACCGGCUAACUACGUGCCAGCCGCCGCCGUAA